UACGUAGGGUCCGAGCGUUGUCCGGAAUCACUGGGCGUAAAGCGCACGUAGGCGGAUUGCUAAGUCAGGGGUGAAAUCCUGGAGCUCAACUCCAGAACUGCCUUUGAUACUGGCGAUCUUGAGUCCGGGAGAGGUGAGUGGAACUGCGAGUGUAGAGGUGAAAUUCGUAGAUAUUCGCAAGAACACCAGUGGCGAAGGCGGCUCACUGGCCCGGUACUGACGCUGAGGUGCGAAAGCGUGGGGAGCAAACAGG
rnacentral:rRNA from 1 species